rnacentral:rRNA from 1 species
UACGUAGGGUGCAAGCAUUAAUCGGAAUUACUGGGCGUAAAGCGCGCGUAGGCGGCUUUGCAAGUCGAGUGUGAAAAUCCCCCAGGCUUAACCUGGGAACUGCAUUCGAGACUGCAUAGCUAGAGUAUGGGAGAGGGAAGUGGAAUUUCAGGUGUAGCGGUGAAAAUGCGUAGAUAUCUGAAGGAACAUCAGUGGCGAAAGCGACUUCCUGGACCAAUACUGACGCUCAUGUGCGAAAAGCGUGGGGGAGCAAACAGG